UAUUACCUCCGGUGCACGGUGGAUCGGUCGGUCGGUCCACAGAGCCAGGAUGCAGUCCACAGGAAUAGUUACGCGGUCCACAGGUGCGGCUCAUAGCGAGAGAAAGAUCUGGGCGUGAUCCAACGACUGAGAUUCAAUCCGACCCAGAUCCGACGGUUCAGACUCGUUGCCGACUUUGAAUAGGACUCUUUUGCACGAUCCGACGGCCAGAACUUCAUCAGAACCC
rnacentral:lncRNA from 1 species